AAAACAUUUGCAGAUUCAUUUUGUUUGGAGUUUUCAGCUUCUGUUGUGCUAUUAGUCAGUUUGACUUCCAACCCCAGCCAUGUUGUUCAUCUGGUCAUUUAUUACAUUCUCAGUAAUAGGUGGAAGUUAUGAGCAGACUAUAGAGCCAAACCAGCAUGAAGUGUAUGCAGAAGUGGGUAGUAAUGUUCUUCUUUCCUGCAACUACUCCUCAGCAGACAGUCUACUAUGGUAUAAACAGUCUCCAGGAUCAGCUCCCCAAUAUCUUCUGCUCAUCCCACACUACACUGGGACUGUAAAGAGAGCUGAUUCUCUUGACUCUCGCUUCUCUGGUAAACUGAACAAAGAGAGGACCCGUCGUGUGGAUCUGGAGAUCUCCUCUGCUGAAGUGACAGACUCUGCUCUGUACUACUGUGCUCUGAGGCCCACAGUGAUAGGAGACCUGUCAACACCGUUCAAAAACUGCUAUCUAUUCAAGAGGAGGAGCUAA